GGGGGUGACUGGUUUCGACUUGGGACGGUAGUCCCAGGGGAAGCGGGCCGUGAAUCCAUGGUCAACACGUAAAUGUUCCUUGGAAACCAAUAACUGCCGACACCAAUCGCGCAGACUUCGCUCUCGCUGCCUGAGCAGUGACCGAAGGGUCAGCCCGGACUCUGCCUUCGGUCCGGUAACUGGCCUCAUCCAGAAGGCUUGCUGAUCAACCUGCGUGGCAGGGGUUGAUCGGGACUUAACUGCUACUGGGCCUGUCCACGACGUGCUGAAGAGAGCGUGGGGGCCGAGAAAACGUCAACCUCAGCUGCGCCCGGAGAAGACCUGGUUCGCCUCUUGAGGACGCGGGUUCAAUUCCCGCCACCUCCACC
rnacentral:tmRNA from 1 species